GACGAACGCUGGCGGCGUGCUUAACACAUGCAAGUCGAACGGAAAGGCCCUGCUUUUGUGGGGUGCUCGAGUGGCGAACGGGUGAGUAACACGUGAGUAACCUGCCCUUGACUUUGGGAUAACUUCAGGAAACUGGGGCUAAUACCGGAUAGGAGCUCCUGCUGCAUCGUGGGGGUUGGAAAGUUUCGGCGGUUGGGGAUGGACUCGCGGCUUAUCAGCUUGUUGGUGGGGUAGUGGCUUACCAAGGCUUUGACGGGUAGCCGGCCUGAGAGGGUGACCGGCCACAUUGGGACUGAGAUACGGCCCAGACUCCUACGGGAGGCAGCAGUGGGGAAUAUUGCACAAUGGGCGGAAGCCUGAUGCAGCAACGCCGCGUGCGGGAUGACGGCCUUCGGGUUGUAAACCGCUUUCGCCUGUGACGAAGCGUGAGUGACGGUAAUGGGUAAAGAAGCACCGGCUAACUACGUG
rnacentral:rRNA from 1 species